rnacentral:rRNA from 1 species
CAGUAGCCGCGGGAAUACAGAGGGUGCGAGCGUUAAUCGGAUUUACUGGGCGUAAAGCGUGCGUAGGCGGCUUUUUAAGUCGGAUGUGAAAUCCCUGAGCUUAACUUAGGAAUUGCAUUCGAUACUGGGAAGCUAGAGUAUGGGAGAGGAUGGUAGAAUUCCAGGUGUAGCGGUGAAAUGCGUAGAGAUCUGGAGGAAUACCGAUGGCGAAGGCAGCCAUCUGGCCUAAUACUGACGCUGAGGUACGAAAGCAUGGGGAGCAAACAGGAUUAGAGACCCGAGUAGUCCCUGUCUCUUAUAU